rnacentral:rRNA from 1 species
GACGAACGCUGGCGGCGUGCUUAACACAUGCAAGUCGAACGGAAGGGCCCUGCUUUUGUGUGGUUCUCGAUUGGCGAGCGGGUGAGUAAAACGUGAGUAACCUCCCCUUAACUUUGUGAUAACUUCUCGGGACAGGGGCUAAUACACGAGAGAAUCUCUUGCUGCGUAGUGGGGGAUAGAAAAAUUCGGCCUUUGUGGCUGUACUCGCGGGGUAUCAGCUUGUUGGUGUGGUAGUGGAUUACAAAGGCUUUGACGGGUAGCCGACGUGAGAGGGCGAUCGGCGACACUGGAACUGAGACACGGUCAAGGCGCCUACGGGAGGCAGCAGUAGGGAAUCUUCCGCAGUGGGCGAGAGCCUGGCGGAGCAACGCCGCGUGAGAGAUGAAGGUCUUCGGAUCGUGAAACUCUGUUAUUAGGGAAGAACAGAUGUGUAAGUAACUGUGCACAUCGUGACGGUAACGAAUCAGAAAGCCACGGCUAACUACGUG